GGUGGGGCUGGAACUUGGAAGGAAAGCCCCGAGACCGGGGGAAGCAAGCGCGAAAGUCGAGGGAGACGAGCGAAAGAACGGGAGCUCGGCGGGUCACGUGGAGGAAGAGAAUUAUUGUUUGUUGGUGGCCUGGAGGAAGGCUAGUCAGUGAAGAAAGAACUGGAGUGCAGACUGCAGGACUUCAAGCAAUCCAUCAGAGAACACCAGCUGAACCUGAAUGGAACCUUGGAAGCUGAAGAUUCCACAACAGUAAUACUAUACAGCCUUUGAAAUGAUGCUUUAAUUGAUAACAGUGAUAUAAAUAUUUUCUAAACCCAA